rnacentral:rRNA from 1 species
CUACGGGAGGCACCAGUGCGGAAUAUUGCACAAUGGGGGGAACCCUGAUGCAGCAACGCCGCGUGGAGGAUGACGCAUUUCGGUGUGUAAACUCCUUUUAUAUGUCAAGAAAAUGACGGUAGCAUAUGAAUAAGCACCGGCUAACUCCGUGCCAGCAGCCGCGGUAAUACGGAGGGUGCGAGCGUUACUCGGAAUCACUGGGCGUAAAGGACGCGUAGGCGGGUUGGAAAGUCAGGUGUGAAAUCCUACAGCUUAACUGUAGAACUGCACUUGAAACUUCUAAUCUAGAGUAUGGGAGGGGGAGAUGGAAUUAGUGGUGUAGGGGUAAAAUCCGUAGAUAUCACUAGGAAUACCUAAAGCGAAGGCGAUCUCCUGGAACAUUACUGACGCUAAGGCGUGAAAGCGUGGGGAGCAAACAGGAUUAGAUACCCCGGUAGUC